rnacentral:rRNA from 1 species
UCGCCCUUAGAGUUUGAUCCUGGCUCAAGACGACCUUUGGCGGCGUGCCUAACACAUGCAAGUCGAACGGAACUGUUUUGAAAGAUUUCUUCGGAAUGAAUUUGAUUUAGUUUAGUGGCGGACGGGUGAGUAACGCAUGACUAACCUGCCUUCAAGAGGGGGAUAACAUUCUGAAAAGAAUGCUAAUACCGCAUGACAUAUCGGAACCACAUGGUUCUGACACCAAACAUUUUAUCGCUUGAAGAUGGACUCCCGUCCGAUUAGUUAGUUGGUGAGGUAACGGCUCACCAAGACCGCGAUCGGCAGCCGGACUGAGAGGUUGAACCGCCACAUUGGGACUGACACCCGGCCCACACUCCUACGGGAGGCAGCAGUGGGGGAUAUUGCGCGCUGGGGGCAACCCUGACGCAGCAACGCCGCAAGAAAGAUGAAGGUUUUCGGAUUGUAAACUUCUUUUAUUAAGGACGAAAAUUGACGGUACUUAAUGAAUAAGCUCCGGCUAACUACGUGCCAGCAGCCGCGGUAAUACGUAGGGAGCAAGCGUUGUCCGGAUUUACUGGGUGUAAAGGGUGCGUAGGCGGCUUUGCAAGUCAGAUGUGAAAUCUAUGGGCUCAACCCAUAAACUGCAUUUGAAACUGUAGAGCUUGAGUGAAGUAGAGGCAGGUGGAAUUCCCCGUGUAGCGGUGAAAUGCGUAGAGAUGGGGAGGAACACCAGUGGCGAAGGCGGCCUGCUGGGCUUUAACUGACGCUGAGGCACGAAAGCGUGGGUAGCAAACAGGAUUAGAUACCCUGGUAGUCCACGCUGUAAACGAUGA